rnacentral:tRNA from 1 species
UCUAAUAUGGCAGAUUAGUGCAAUGGAUUUAAACCCCAAAUAUAAAGUUUGACCUUUUUUUAGAA